rnacentral:rRNA from 1 species
AGUGAACGCUGGCGGUAGGCCUAGCACAUGCAAGUCGAACGGCAGCACAGUAAGAUCUUGCUCCUACGGGUGGCGAGUGGCGGACGGGUGAGGCAUACAUCGCAAUCUACUUUUUCUUGGGUGAUAACGUAGGGAAACUUACGCUAAUACCUCAUACGACCAACGGGUUAAAGCAGUGGAUCUUCGCACCUUGCGCGAUAGAUUUAGCCGAUUUCGGAUUAGCUAGUUGGAGGGGUAAAGGCCCACCAAGGCGACGAUCCGUAGCUAGUCUGAGAGGAUGAUCAGCCACACUGGACGUGGGAAACGUUCCAGACUCCUACGGGAGGAAGCAGAGGGAAACAUUGGAAAAGGGGCGAAAGCCUGAGCCAGACAGACCGCGUAGGUGAAGAGGGCCUUCGGGUUGUAAAGCCUGUUUGUUGGGAAGAAAAGAAGCGUGAUAAACCACGGAUGUUCUGACGGUACCCAAAGAGUAAGCACCGGCUAACUUCGUG